GACAGUGAUGCAGAGCAAAUCCCCAAAAGCAGUCUUAGUUCGGAUUGUAGGCUGCAACUCGCCUACAUGAAGUCGGAAUUGCUAGUAAUCGCGGAUCAGCAUGCCGCGGUGAAUACGUUCCCGGGCCUUGUACACACCGCCCGUCACACCAUGGGAGUCGGUAACACCCGAAGCCUGUAGUCUAACCGCAAGGAGGACGCAGUUGAAGGUGGGAUUGAUGACUGGGGUGAAGUCGUAACAAGGUACC
rnacentral:rRNA from 1 species